ACUGCCUGGCUGCAGCUGGUGAAAAGGAACCACAUCAACCCUGCACAGGAUUUGGUCCCCUUCAACCAGCCGCAACUGGGUAGGCUA
rnacentral:pre_miRNA from 1 species